rnacentral:tRNA from 1 species
GAGGGUAGAGCUCAGUGGCAGAGUGUCUGCUUAGCAUGCACAAGGUCCUGGGUUGAAACCUCAGUAUCCCCG